UGCUUAAUUGAAAAUAGGGCUCGUAGCAUUUGGGUACUCUGUUUCUAGAGAGAGAAACAUUCCAUUUGGGUACUACGUUUUUAGAGAAGAAAAACACGUAUGUCAUUUUCCUCUUUAAUUUGCAGGAGCAGGAAGAUUCAAAGCAUGCGGUUCAAUGUGAUGUAUAUGAAUUGGGUACAGUGGUUUUGGCAGGAGAAAAGAAAAUGGGGGAUACACGAAUUGCAGGGAAAAGAAGACUCCAGAACCCUAAAAUCUGUAUGGUUAGGCUUUCUUCUGUAACAUCACUCUAUUUCUAGACUUUUCUUUUCCUCUGUAAUUUGCAGGAGCGAGAAGAUCCCAAAACCCUGAAAUCAAUCUGGGUAUAACCCGUGGGAAGAGUUAGUUAUUACUUUGCAAGAAGAAUUUGUGAUUUCCUCUUUAAUUUGCAAGAGAGAGAAGCAGCACGCACGGAGGAACAAGGAUUAUGUUUGCAAAUUGUUUAAGCGUUUUUUUUUAAAAAAGAUUUUAUAUUAAAUGCGUAAUAUGGAUGGUCUUUGAGCCUUAAUUUUGAUUGAAGUUUUGGUGGAAUUUUGUCAAGCCAAAAUUUUAUGAUUUUUUAUUCAAUGGUUUUCAUUUUAUUAUAUUCUAAUUUGAUUCUAAUUUGUGAUAAUCUGGAUGGUUUGAGCCCCAAUUUGUGAUAAUAUGGAUGCUUUUGAGCUGUAAUUUAUGAUAAUUUGGAUGGUUUCAUGCCAUAAACAAUAUUUACAUUAAGUAUUAUCACAAAUAAUUACAUAAAUCUGCAUCCAUAUGAUUUUCUUUACACAAUGAUUUGCCAUAAAUAGUGUUUCCUUUACAUAAUGAUUUUUCAUAAUAAAUAUUGAAAUCUGCAUCUAUAUGCUUAAGUUAAAAAAAAAAAAAUCAUUCAUUCAAUCUGCAACUGUGGCUUUGAAGAAGAACAUGAUUUCAACACAAACCCUAACGAUACACAUACCUGUUGGUGAUAAAAAUUUAUAUUCUAAGUUUUUUUGGAAAUAAUAUGCUUUUUUAAAAAGUAUGAAAAUAGCAAUACACAAAACAGGAAAAAGUUACUGUUUCUUAUGUUUCAAAAAAAAAUUUACAGGUAGAAAAGGAUAUGCUUUUUUGGUCCAGCUUAAUUUGUUUAUCUUAAAUUCGCAUUUUAAAUUUUUUUCUAAAAAAAACACUUUUUUUUUGCCGAAUUUUUAAAGAACGGUCGGUUUAAAAGUUUUUUUAUAAAAAUACCAUUUAUUUAUUUAUUUAAAAAGCACGUUUUAAUUGCCGAUUUGCUAACUAUGGCUUGAAUACACAAGGAUAAACUUAUGACAUAGACAAAGAUAGAGCAUGCAAUAAAACAUACUUACACCACCCCAUAUCUCUCUCUCAAAUGCACUUGCAACCCGUAAAAAUUUCCCUUUACCCUUGAUUCUAUUCUUUGUAUUUGUCAACCAUGCGGGCAGGACCUGCCGUCAACUUUUCCAGCCCUUUUCUCUCUCCACCUUGUUUUAAGCAUGGAGCUCUUAAGCCUAUAAAUUGGCCUGUCUCUCUCUUCACCUUUUUUUAAGCAUGGAGCUCUUAAGCCUGUAAAUUGGCCUGAAUUGCUUCUUGGAUCAAAACUACAUUAGCAAGGAGACAAUAAGGCGAGUAAAGAUUCAAAUAAAGAAGACAGAGAACAAAACAAACAGGCAAGUGACCUACUUACUCAAUGAGAAAGAAUGACCUCCUCAACAAGGCCAAUGGGCUCUCUGUUCUUUGUGAUAUUGAUAUUGCUCUCAUCAUGUUCUACCAAAAUGGAAAGCUCAGUGUUUUCUUUGGGAAUAGUAGGUCACUAAACUCACUCUUUCUUUAUUUUCUUAUUACAUUGAAUAUUUAGUAAAACAUUGGGAAAAAUAGGUCACUAAACUCACCCUUUCUUUAUUUUCUUAUUACAUUGAAUAUUAGUUUCCUCAUGACUAAAUCUCUUAUCUUUAUCUUUCUUUUUUUUUCUCUUUGUCUAUGCCCUGGGUUGAAGAAAUUUUUGGCAAUAUAUGAACAUUCCUGUGCAUGUAUGGGUGAGUUCAUCUGAAGCGCCAUUUUUGUUAGAUAUGCAACUUCAAACACAGAAAGAAAAAACUUCACAAAGGCUUCAGGAUGAACAAGUAAGUAUCAUAUCUCUCUUGUUAUGUGAUUGUGUGUAUUAAAAUUUGUGGUUUGGUUUACUCUUGAGUCGCACUGAUAAUGAUGUAGAAAAGUAUAUAAAUAUGCCAUUUAUUUUAGGGGAAAUGUUUCUUUGGAACCCCACUCACAUAUAUAGCACAUGUGACCCUAAUCUUAGUUGUCAGAUCUGAGUAGAUGGCUGAGAUAUCUUGAGUCACAAUAUUACAAGCUAGCUCUUAACCAUUAGAUCUUGAUCAGACGACUCAGAGUUUUUUAUUUUUAACUUUUAUUCUAUAAAUCAUUUUAAGCCAAAAUUUGUGACAUGCAUAAAUCUAACAAGGGCGCACAUGAUUUUUUAAAAAAAAUCCGAUUAUAAAAAAUUACUAGAAUACCCCUAAAAAUGUCUGGGGUAUUUUGGUCAUUUAUUUUUAUGAAAAUAUUAUUCUUAAUUUUUUCCAGCUUCACCCUAAUUUUUUGAUUGGAUGCCCAAAAUUUUAUUAAAAAAAAUUUUGUAGAAAAAAAUAAAACAGUGUUUGACAUGACAUUGUGAUAUAAACAACCAAUGCUGUUUGAUUCAGAUCAAACGGCUAAGAAGUGGGGUCCCAUAUAACUUAUAUGUUCUUGGGUCACAUGGAAAGUUCCUUCUUAUUUUAGUACAAGGAGGUCACACUCAAUCUUUUCUAUCGAAUUUUAAAUCGGAUGGUUGUAUGUAAUUGACUAGACUCAAAGCUAUAAAGAAUUUCUCAUACUUCAUGACGCACUUCAAGCUAUCCGAUUGAUAACUAAGAGCUAGGAGUACUUAUAACAAUAGUAAACGAUCUUAUAGUACACAGUCUCAAAUGAUAUUUGCGCUGCUAUCGACUUUGUAAAACAACGUGUCCAUGAAAACCUUUGGAAGCUGAGGUUUGAAGAUAAUCUGGCCUCUAAGAUAAGCGGGUAUCUCUUUCUCUCUCUCCCACUCUCUCUCAUUUGGAAAUGAAGGGCUUCAUUUGUGCUUAUCUCAUUUGAAUGUUUUUCUUUGUUUCCUAAUAUUGGAUUCCUUGUGGACUGAGUUGAAUCAUCUCAAACAAUCUUGACCCACGUAUUCAGGAGGUUAAGCGAGAAAUUAAUGGGGUUCUGUGACAAUUGCAAGAAGCACAGAGAAAAUUAAG